rnacentral:rRNA from 1 species
CCUACGGGGGGCAGCAGUGGGGAAUUUUGCGCAAUGCUCGUAAGAGUGACGCAGCGACGCCGCGUGAAUGACGAAGGCCUUCGGGUCGUAAAGUUCUUUCGACAGGGAAGAAAAUGCAUAUAAGUAACUGUGUAUGUAUUUACGGUACCUGUAUAAGCAGCCCAGGCUAACUCCAUCCCAGCAGCCGCGGUAAUACGGAGGGGGCGAGCGUUGUUCGGUGGGACUGGGCGUAAAGGGCACGCAGGCGGUGUUGUAAGUCAUUAGUCAAAGACUAGAGCUCAACUUUAGUAAGGCUAGUGAUACUAUAAUACUAGAGUAUCAGAGAGGAUUGCAGAAUUCCUGGUGUAGCGGUGAAAUGCGUAGAUAUCAGGAGGAAUACCGUUAGCGAAGGCGGCAAUCUGGCUGGAAACUGACGCUGAGGUGCGAAAGCGUGGGUAGCAAACAGGAUUAGAUACCCCUGUAGUC